UUGCCAGCCCGCUACAGAAACGUUAAAGGAAGUUGACGGGGGCCCGGCACAAGCGGUGGAGCAUGUGGUUUAAUUCGAUGAUACGCGAGGAACCUUACCUGGGCUCAAAUGUAUGUUGACGUAUUCUGAAAGGGAUACUUCUUCGGACAAUAUACAAGGUGCUGCAUGGUUGUCGUCAGCUCGUGCCGUGAGGUGUCGGGUUAAGUCCCAUAACGAGCGCAACCCCUAUCAUUAGUUGCCAUCAGGUCAAGCUGGGGACUCUAAUGAAACUGCCUACGCAAGUAGUGAGGAAGGUGGGGAUGACGUCAAAUCAGCACGGCCCUUACGUCCAGGGCUACACACGUGCUACAAUGGCCGGUACAACGGGCAGCGAAGGAGCGAUCCGGAGCGAAUCCUAAAAAGCCGGUCCCAGUUCGGAUUGCAGGCUGAAACUCGCCUACAUGAAGUUGGAGUUGCUAGUAAUCGCGAAUCAGAAUGUCGCGGUGAAUGCGUUCCCGGGUCUU
rnacentral:rRNA from 1 species